rnacentral:rRNA from 1 species
AUUGAACGCUGGCGGCAGGCCUAACACAUGCAAGUCGAACGAGUGGCGGACGGGUGAGUAAUGUCUGGGAAACUGCCUGAUGGAGGGGGAUAACUACUGGAAACUGUAGCUAAUACCGCAUACCAUAGAAUUGGCACAUGUGGGAUUAGCUAGUUGGUGGGGUAAGGGCUCACCAAGGCGACGAUCUCUAGCUGGUCUGAGAGGAUGACCAGCCACACUGGAACUGAGACACGGUCCAGACUCCUACGGGAGGCAGCAGUGGGGAAUAUUGCACAAUGGGGGCAAGCCUGAUGCAGCCAUGCCGCGUGUAUGAAGAAGGCCUUCGGGUUGUAAAGUACUUUCAGUGGGGAGGCGUUACCUACAGAAGAAGCACCGGCUAACUCCGUGCCAGCAGCCGCGGUAAUUC